GUGAUAAUACCUAUGCUCCUCCUACUAUUCCUACUUUGUCAUUUACUAUUGCCACACUCCUAUUUUAGGUGAUACUUCUAUAGCUUCAAGCAAUGCCACAGAUAUUGUUCUCAAGCAGAAUGAUCCAUGACCAAUUGGAUUCUGAUGGGAUAUCACCUAUAUUGAUGGCCACUUUUGACUCUGGGCCUUCACCUCUACCAU
rnacentral:lncRNA from 1 species